GAAACAGAGGAGAUAACAAAAGGAAUCAAAAUCAUGGUACCUGAGCUGAGACACACACAGUAACCCUCCAUGCAAGAGAAACUGGCCUCGAGCUGAGAGAUGGAUCCCAAGUUGCUACAGCUGUGGGGAUGAGUGAUAAGAAGUGACAGGAGAAAUCUGCCUUGAUUUGAGAUGGAUUGCAUUGUCAACCAAAUGCUGCAUAUUGCCCAGUACCUGGAGUGGGAUCCCACAGAGCUGAGGCCUAUAUUGAAGGAGAUGCUGCAAGGGAUGGACUACGACCGGGACGGCUUUGUGUCUCUACAGGAAUGGGUCCAUGGAGGGAUGACCACCAUCCCAUUGCUGGUCCUCCUGGGGAUGGAUGACUCUGUAAGUCAACAAGCUGGAGUUCAGAGAUCUCUUGCCAUUCAGGAACAUUGGGCUUCAUGUUAAUAUCAACAUAUCACUUUGGCUUCUGCUCCAGACUGCCCAACAGACGUGCCAUGACCAGCCCCAAAGUCCUCUCUAUUUACAUUAUUUUGUAUCCAUUAGUGCCUGAAGUAUAUUCAUUUGACAGACAUUUACUACAUUAUUACUACUUUAAAAAUACUGUUCUGCAUGCUGUGAGGGAAUACAGACACAUUAUCUGCCUGCAAGAACCUUAUACUCAACCAGGCAAAGGGCCACAAACUUCAAAGAAGAAUUCUGUCUUUUCAACAAAUUAGGUUUAAAAAUGCUAAGAGAAUUGGGGAAGGAAGGGUGAGAGGAAAGAACGAAGGGAGAGAGGAAAAAAUACGGAUCUGUUGUGGGGGUGGCUUCCAUUAGUGGUAUCUUAUUUAAUAAUCAAAACAACCAGAUAAGGUAAAUAUUUUUAUCCCAAUUUAUACAGAUGGAAAACUGAGGUUCUGACCCUAAGGAGCAAAAGGAGGAGUGAGGAUUUGUCUCUGACACCAAAGAUGUUGCACUUUGUAAUAUCCCACACAUGAGAGUUAGGCCAGUGGGAAGAAACCUUGGAAGGUGUUGACUUGUCCCUGAAGAAUGCAUGAGAUUUUGAUGUCCCAUUCUUGAGAAUAAAGAGCAGGUGGCCUUAAAGACCUAGAGAGAGUU
rnacentral:lncRNA from 10 species